rnacentral:rRNA from 1 species
CCUACGGGAGGCAGCAGUGGGGAAUAUUGGGCAAUGGGCGCAAGCCUGACCCAGCAACGCCGCGUGAAGGAAGAAGGCUUUCGGGUUGUAAACUUCUUUUAUUGAGGACGAAACAAAUGACGGUACUCAAUGAAUAAGCCACGGCUAACUACGUGCCAGCAGCCGCGGUAAUACGUAGGUGGCAAGCGUUAUCCGGAUUUACUGGGUGUAAAGGGUGCGCAGGCGGUCUGUUAAGUCAGCGGUCAAAGCCCGGGGCUCAACCCCGGCCCGCCGUUGAAACUGGCAGUCUCGAGUUGGAGAGAAGUAUGCGGAAUGCGCGGUGUAGCGGUGAAAUGCAUAGAUAUCGCGCAGAACUCCGAUUGCGAAGGCAGCAUGCCGGCUCCACACUGACGCUGAGGCACGAAAGCGUGGGUAUCGAACAGGAUUAGAUACCCCGGUAGUC